rnacentral:ncRNA from 1 species
CCAGAUCAAGCCAAACCCGCUGGGAGGUGGGGACGGAAAGCCACGGGUCUCAAAAAUUGGGAAGAGACAGCCGGGUUGCCUGAA